AUGGCGGCGCGUGAACAACGCGAGGCUCAGUGUCUCUCCAGAAUCUGCUAUUUAGCGGUUUUUUAUCUACUUUUAACCGGAUUAUUCAACCAGAAUUGCUGUGCGUUGCUGACCUACAGCAGACAAGAGAUUCUGGACAUCUGGACUCAUAACUCCAACAGUUUUAUCGCCGAUCUCCGACUCAUCCCAGAGAUCUCCAGAACACCGGAGGCUGCCCACUCUCCCCGGCCGGGCGGAAGUGCACGCAGACGGCGCCGAGAACGUAAACAAAGGCGAGGUAGGCGCGGAGGGCUACGGGCUAAGCUAAAGCUAACACCACAUCGGCUGCCUUUACCCAGUAUUUUCCUCGCCAAUGUCCGUUCUCUGGCAAACAAAAUGGAUGAGAUACGGCUCUCCAUCACUAACAACAGACGGAUUAUGGACUCAAAUGUCAUGUUUUUCACCGAAACAUGGUUGAACAACAGCUGCCCGGACAAUGCUAUCGAGUUAGCAGGACGCCACACACACCGAGCCGACAGGCUAGCAGAUGACUCCGGCAAGACCACAGGUGGAGGUUUGUGCAUUUAUAUUAACAAUGCUUGGUGCAUGAACUCCACUACUACUGAGAGUCACUGCUCACCUAAUGCGGAGUUUUUAAUGGUCAAAUGCAGACCUUACUAUCUCCCCAGAGAGCUCACUUCGAUCAUACUCACUGCAGUAUAUAUCCCCCCCGACGCUAAUGCUAGGUUGGCCAUGAAAGAACUUUCUGCAGCCAUUAACAAACACCAGAAUAAACACCCCGAGGCUGCUUUUAUUGUUGCUGGCGACUUCAACCACACCAACUUAAAGACAGUCCUCCCCAGAUUCCACCAACAUGUCUCCUGCCACACCAGAGGAGACAAGACUUUAGACCAUGUUUAUUCCAACUUGGCUGGAGCCUACAAAGCAACACCCCUCCCCCACAUUGGACAAUCGGACCAUCUCUCCCUGUUCCUCACACCUAGGUAUUCACCACUCAUCCAACGUGUGAAACCUGCUGUGAGGACAAUUAAAGUGUGGCCAGAGGGGACAGACGCAGUGCUCCAGGACAGAUUUAAAAACACAGACUGGAAUAUGUUCACCCACACAGACCUGGACCAGUACGCCUCAUCUGUACUGGAUUACAUCUCCGAAACCACAGACAGUGUCACCACCCAGAAACGGAUCACCAUGUACCCCAACCAGAAGCCUUGGAUGAACCGGGAUGUUCGUCUCCUCCUGAAGGCCCGCAACACCGCCUUUAGGUCAGGAGAUGCACACGCCUACAGUACAGCCAGGGCUAAUCUAAAGAAGGGCAUCAAAAAAGCCAAACACCAUUACAAAAAGAAGGUAGAAGAACACUUCUCCAACUCCAACCCCCGACGCAUGUGGCAAGGACUCCAGACCAUUACAGACUACAGGACCACCAAACCCUCCCCCACAUCCUCUGAUGCCUCCUUCCUCAACGAGCUCAACAACUUUUAUGCUCGUUUUGAGCAAGGGAACCCCACAGCCACAACCAUAACAGACAUGACGCCAGACCACCAACCUCUGACUCUCUCCCCCACCGAUGUAGGAGCGGUGCUGAGCAGGAUCAAUGUCCACGAGGCUGCAGGUCCUGAUGGUAUCCCCGAGCGUGUUCUCAGAGCGUGUUCUGGGGAGCUUGCAGGAGUGCUCACAGACAUAUUCAACCUGUCCUUGGCCCACGCUGUGGUACCGGCCUGCUUCAAAUCCACCUCCAUCAUCCCGAUACCCAAAAACUCCAACCCAUCUAGCCUCAAUGACUACCGCCCAGUAGCACUCACCCCCAUCAUCACUAAGUGCUUAGAGCAGCUGGUCUUAGCACACUUCAAAUCCUGUCUCCCCCCACCCUGGACCCCCACCAAUUUGCAUACCGCCAGAACAGGAGCACAGAGGAUGCAGUCUCCAUCGCACUGCACUCUGUCCUCACACACCUGGACAACAACAACACCUACGCCAGAAUGCUGUUUAUAG
rnacentral:lncRNA from 1 species